CGGUUGAUCCCGCCGGACCUGACUGCUAUCGGAUUGAUACUAAGCCAUGCGAGUCAUUGUAGCAAUACAAGGCAGACGGCUCAGUAACGCGUAGUCAACCUAACCUAUGGACGGGAAUAACCUCGGGAAACUGAGAAUAAUGCCCGAUAGAACACUAUACCUGGAAUGGUUUGUGUUCCAAAUGAUUUAUCGCCGUAGGAUGGGACUGCGGCCUAUCAGUUUGUUGGUGAGGUAAUGGCCCACCAAGACUAUUACAGGUACGGGCUCUGAGAGGAGUAGCCCGGAGAUGGGUACUGAGACACGGACCCAGGCCCUAUGGGGCGCAGCAGGCGAGAAAACUUUGCAAUGUGCGAAAGCACGACAAGGUUAAUCCGAGUGGUUUCUGCUAAAGGAACCUUUUGUUAGUCCUAGAAACACU
rnacentral:rRNA from 1 species